UACGAAGGGGGGCUAGCGUUGCUCGGAAUUAUUGGGCGUAAAGAGCUCGUAGGCGGUUUGUCGCGUCUGCCGUGAAAGUCCGGGGCUCAACUCCGGAUCUGCGGUGGGUACGGGCAGACUAGAGUGAUGUAGGGGAGACUGGAAUUCCUGGUGUAGCGGUGAAAUGCGCAGAUAUCAGGAGGAACACCGAUGGCGAAGGCAGGUCUCUGGGCAUUAACUGACGCUGAGGAGCGAAAGCAUGGGAGCGAACAGG
rnacentral:rRNA from 1 species